rnacentral:rRNA from 1 species
CUAUGCCUACGGGACGCAGCAGUGGGGAAUUUUGCGCAAUGGGGGAAACCCUGACGCAGCAACGCCGCGUGCGGGACGAAGGCCCUCGGGCUGUAAACCGCUUUCAGCAGGGAAGACAUCGACGGUACCUGCAGAAGAAGCUCCGGCUAACUACGUGCCAGCAGCCGCGGUAAUACGUAGGGGGCGCGCGUUAUCCGGAUUCAUUGGGCGUAAAGCGCGCGUAGGCGGCCGCCUAAGCGGAACCUCCAACCCCGGGGCUCAACCUCGUGCCGGGUUCCGGACUGGGCGGCUCGCGUGCGGGAUCG